rnacentral:rRNA from 1 species
AGAGCGAACGCUGGCGGCAGGCUUAACACAUGCAAGUCGAGCGGGCGUAGCAAUACGUCAGCGGCAGACGGGUGAGUAACGCGUGGGAACAUACCUUUUGGUUCGGAACAACACAGGGAAACUUGUGCUAAUACCGGAUAAGCCCUUACGGGGAAAGAUUUAUCGCCAAAGGAGCGGCCCGCGUCUGAUUAGCUAGUUGGUGAGGUAACGGCCCACCAAGGCUACGAUCAGUAGCUGGUCUGAGAGGAUGAUCAGCCACACUGGGACUGAGACACGGCCCAGACUCCUACGGGAGGCAGCAGUAGGGAAUCUUGCGCAAUGGGCGAAAGCCUGACGCAGCCAUGCCGCGUGAAUGAUGAAGGUCUUAGGAUUGUAAAAUUCUUUCAGCAGGGAAGAUAAUGACUGUACCUGCAGAAGAAGCUCCGGCUAACUUCGUGCCAGCAGCCGC